GACGAACGCUGGCGGCGUGCUUAACACAUGCAAGUCGAACGGAAAGGCCCUGCUUUUGUGGGGUGCUCGAGUGGCGAACGGGUGAGUAAAACGUGUGUAACCUGCACUUGUCUUUGGGAUAACUUCAGGAAACUGGGGCUCAUACCGGAUAGGAGCUCCUGCUGCGUGGUGGGGGUUGGAAAGUUUCGGCGGUUGGGGCUGGACUCGCGGCUUAUCAGCUUGUUGGUGGGGUAGUGGAUUACCAAGGCUUUGACGGGUAGCCGGCAUGAGAGGGUGACCGGGCACAUUGGGACUGCGGUAGGGCCCAGACGGCUACGGGAGGCAGCAGUGGGGAAUAUUGCACAAUGGGCGGAAGCCUGAUGCAGCAACGCCGCGUGCGGGAUGACGGCCUUCGGGUUGUAAACCGCUGCCGCCUGUGACGAAGCGUGAGUGACGGUAAUGGGUAAAGAAGCACCGGCUAACUACGUG
rnacentral:rRNA from 1 species